GCUGUGUGGUGGUGGGUGUGCGCCAGGCUCCACAAACCUCCACUCACUCGAUUUCCUUUCAACAAGCGCACUGGAACACGUGUGUGUUAGCAUUGGCGUGUGUGGACGUUAGCUUUCAAGUGUUAUAGCAUUGGUCAAUUCCAAGUCCGGAUCAGGACGGCGAGACAUUUAACGUCUUGCGUGAAAGCCCAAAGUCGCCGUGGUUCCCGUCAUUGUCUCCAUGGUGACUGGCAGGCCACAGCCCAGACGCUCAGGCUCCUCUUGAUGAUGUCACCGAGGUCCAAUCGGGUCAUAAUUGCCGUUUAAUGAUCUCGGCGCCGAAGUCGGCGGAUGGCGUCUCCGCGGCGACCGAGCACUCAAAGGCGGACGCGGUCGUGUCCUGCGGGGGGGCGGUGGACUUCUGCCACCAAUUUGUGCUCCCUUCCAGCCUCCGUGACUCCAUCGAUUUUCACUGGAGGCUUGUUGUAAUUAAAUAUCACAUGACUUUAUGAUGACAAUAUAAUUACGUCCUCGGGCUCUCGCUGCACGCUGCGCUCGGCUCACUGACUUCUCCGCGUAAUGUUCCGCAUUUUUCACCCGCGUCGGCCUCGCGUGCAUCCUCGGUUCUUGAUCUACAACACCCACGUAACAUCCACAAAACCCUCAGAUAACAAGCUGAUAACUUCAAGGAUAAUGUCUAAAAUAUGAAGAAAAAAAAAGCCUGAUAGUAUGUCAUUUACAUCUAAUUCAUAUCCAGAAAAAAAAUCAAGGUAGCAUAGAAAAAAAUUAUCUAGAUCUCAUUAAAAAAAAAAAAACUUGCAGAUAUUUUCCAAACAACAUCCUGGUAAGGUCGUGAUCACAUCUGGAUAACAAGUAGAAACAUCUUAAGAAAAACAGUCAGAUCUCAUUUACAUAUCCUGUAAUUAAUAUCCAGAAAACAUCCAAAUGGACAUUUGCACAUACCAUGGAAACAACAUCCAAAUAGGCUCCAGAUAAUGUCAAAAAAAACUUAUUAAUCACGUCCAGAUCACCAAUCAAAUCAUAUCUAAAAAAAUUUGAAUAUCUAAAAAGAUCUAGUUAGCAUGCCGCUUAUAUCAAUAAAAUGUCCUAAUAGUAUCCAAAACAAUCUAAAUAAACAGCCACAGAGCUUGCAGAUAACGUCAACAUUCCAAUAACAUCUAAAAAAAAAAAAAAAAAAAGAAACGUCUGAAUAACAUCUAAAGAAUCUAAAAAAAAAAAUGUGUUUUUUAAAACAUAUCCAGAUACCAUCCAGAAAUUCAAUCUAAAAAAAAACAACUGGGUAACAUCCAGAAAACAUUUAGAUAACAGCCGUCAUCAGUAUCACCCACAAACAUGUGGAUGAUAUCUAGAAAACAUCUAAAAAAAGACAAAAACAAAAAGCAACAUGAUCUGUAAAACAUAAUCCAGAAAACCUCCUGAUAACAUCUGAAAUCAGUUCGAUAUCAUCUUGGAGAUUUCCAGAUCGCAGAUCAAAAAAAUGAGAUGUUGCGAUAAAAAUGAGCUCAUAGUGAAAUAACAUGCGGAUAACGUGCAGAUAAGCCGACGACAACAUUCGGUCGGACAGCUCGCACCACGCGGCUGUGUGUGUGUGUGUCGUCUGUGACGUGUGUGCGUGCGUGCGUGUGCGUGUGUGUCUCCGAGGCCCAGCAUGAAUCCCAUGAAGUAUUGAUGAUUGGCAAGCUUUCCUCAUGGAUGCUGUGUGAUGUUGAACCAAUCAACAACAUCAGCGAAGCAUAUAAACGCUGGCGAAAGACUUGAAACGUAUUGAUGGAAAUUUUCUACUGGAUCUUUUUAACUCUGUAGGGAUUGGUCGUCAUUUACCGACACGUAUUUCUUUCAUAACAAUUCAAGUUCUUAACGUAGUAAACUCGGGCUAUCAUCUGUAGUUAAAGUUCAACAAUUGCUUGAGUUCCCAAUUCCCAACUUUAUGAUGAUGUAUGUUGUAGGACAUCAUUACACGCAGACAAUCGGUUAUGCCUCAAACAAAGCUCCUCCUCUGUUUCGAGACGGCUUUUCCCGUUUGACAUAGAAACGUAACCCUACCUUAACCACAACCCUGCAGUUAAUCAUUCGAAGCAAAAAAUUCGACUAUCAAAGCACGUCAAUAGCGAGCUGCACACAUUCCUACAUUUAAUGAAAAAAAAGCAUCUUUGCUGACUAUGGUGGAUUUUGUCUAAAUGUUUUGGUUUUGUCAUGUUAUCCGGUAGUAAAUAUUGAGUCGUACGUGGCACGGUUGCAUGCGGUUACAUUGGGCUUUCGUAAAGUAUUGACGGGAUCUGCGAUUGCAAUGUGAUCGUGGCGCUAUUAACUGUCAGUGGGGUAAGUCCCUCAAGCCUCACGUCUCUUGUACGUACUGGAGCGCCGUUAUCUUCGUCUGCCGCUGACCGCCAUGAACAAGAAUCUUUUCCACUCGCAGCUCUCCAUCUGGCAUCCGAUCAAAGCCCGACGUUGCGUCCUUGUCGUCUUUUUGAGCGUCGCUAAAUGAGGUUUGCGCUGGGAGCGCGGCCCCCCCCCCCCGUCUGACUUUUAUCUCCGCCGGGGCGUAAACAAGACGACGACGCAACGAGCAGAAGAAAGCCUCGUCUUCGUGCUAUGAGACGAGAGACUGCAGUUUAUUUUAGUAAUGAGCUCUUGUCUUGCAGCUGGAUGUUUGUGUUCCGCGAGCCCACCGGAGGCUGUAGCACACGUCCGCUGGAGAUGUUGCCUCGCAGACACGCUUCUUCAGCGUGUGAUUACACUUCGCCUGUGGCAGCCUCAGCCACGUUGCCUCCUGUUGACUGGAUGCCUGGCGCACAGCACGACAAUAGAAAUAAUCACCACGGGAGCAACAUUGUGCGGACGAUCGUAUAAUGUGAAAAAUAUAUCACGGGAAUAGAAUUGAAUUCGGUUAACCUUAACAUUACCUUUACCUGGGAAAGCUAAAAACUCAAUUCAAUUGAACUCAAUUCGAUUUUUGGGAGAGCACUUUUGAGAUGAACUGCUGUACGUAAAUACAAAUCCAACAAUUGAAGGUAACGGAAUUUUGAAACAAUACAAAACAAAGGCUUUGCAAGCUGCCUGGCGAGAUUUUUAAGGACUCAAAAACAUUUGCCAACAAAAUCUAGUCGGCUGUCGUACUACGGGAUACACGACACUAAAGCUGACAAUACGGAAGAACACUUGGAAGUGGUCUGUAGUGGGACGGGGAGGGUAUAUUUCCUGGCACUUCACAUUCACUUUGCCUGCAAUGCCCCCCGACGAGUUUUAGUUCUAUUUUAUAGUCAUCGGCAUUUCCGUGAAGCCGAAUAAGCUCACCACAAGCACUUACACGCGCAGUAACAAACGUUCGGGUCUUAAAUGUAGCAUGAAGGUGCUAACGAGCAGUGAUCAGCAGACGCAUUCAUGAAAUAAGUCAAGAUGAGUGAGUGAAUAAGAACGAGGAGCUGGUAAGUUUCUGUUUCCUGUUCUGUUUGUGAGCGUUAACAUGUCGGACGAGACGUUGGGUGUUAAAUUUAGGCCGACGGGAGUGCGGCGUGAGAUGAAAUGAAGCCGGAGGGGAGCACGUCGCUAACAGUGGGAGCUCGCCGAGGGAGGAGGUGAAUAUGAAUGAUGCAACACUGCACCAUUCUUUGUUCUCACUUUUUUUUUUUUUUUUUUUUUUUAACUCCGUCUUCUUGUUGGAGGGAUGCCACGCAUGCUACACACCCGCAUUCCCGUCACGGACGCUUUGAAUAAUACCCAAGUUGAACUUCUAACCCAAAUGUAACGCUAGCGCUACCGUAAAAACCAUCCCAGACCUUCCGGCUGGUCCCCAAAAAAACGCUGCAGCACAAGUUCGAACCACAACAUCGGCGCGGUCAAAACACGGUCGACACGUUUUCCGGUCCCGCCUCCCCCGAUAGCUUGAUUUGACAAGAUUAGCCCGAUGGUCAUACAAAACGGCGUGUCGUGUUGCCAGCGUUCUGAGCGAAUUGGCUUUGUAGUCCGAUUCGGCCAUCAAUUCCGCUGCUAUUCGCCAAGUCCGCCGGGGGAUCGCCCGCGAUGCACCCAGCUUUCCUUCCUCUUUUCUUCUCUCGAUCUUUCUUAUCUCGACACAUUCACACGAACAUCAAAACCGCGACUGCGGUCACGGCUAUCGUGAGGUGUGCUAUUGACGUGCGGUAUGUUCCUCAAACCGAAGCCUACCUGAAACCUCGGCUUAGCGUUGGCCAGCCCAGCAUGUUUCCACGAGUGUUGUGUUGUCCCGAGGUCUAGCUGCAAUCUCCCGCCUUAACCGCUCCCUCCUAUCCAAUCUUAACGCACCUUUCAAACUAAGAAUAGAGCUGUGUCACAUUAAGUUAACAUUGCUCCGCCUCCCUCGUUUCCGCCGCCAUCGCUCUCUCCCCAAAAAUCCAGUCGGGGGCCGAGAACGAGAGGACGCCGGCGGCCAUAAAGAUGACGGAUGCGCGGGGCGGCCGGCGGCUUUUUUUUUACGGCCCGCGGCGGCACUUCAUUAGAGUGCGAAUGAAAUUGCCGGGCGGCCAUAAUUGACCUCUGGAAAGCUCAACGCUCGUCUUCCACGCCAACUAUUAGAGGAACUACUUUUCUAUCAGUAUGACACCUACGCUGAUGGAUUCGCUUUUUUAGGGCGGAAGAGCAACAGGUGGGGAAUACUAAUUAAUUAAUUACAAGUGGGGACAUUUCUUCACUUUUUUUUCUCCAGAAGAAAACAUGUAAAUAGAAUGAAUCCGUUGCGGUGUCAAACGUACAUCUUUAAAGUGUUAGGAUAAUGCUUUAAGUCAUGUUCAGGCACAAAUAGAAGGCACAAAAUAUGGAAAAAAAAAUCAUUUCUUGAGUGUGUUAAUAGGCUACAAGAUUAGCUGCAAGUCUCACAUUAACAACAC